UUAUCUCCUACAAAGCCAAUGGGCCAGGCACAAACAAAAUUAAUAAGGUAGGAUUUAAAUGCAUCCGCAAUAGAAACGAGCUCAUCAUCAACAAUUUUCGAAGAAACCAACAUUUCCAUUUAAACCUCAGUCAGUUAGAAUAAUGCUCAGAAUUAUUAUGUAUGCAAAUAUUUUACAUAUUUCAUUCGGGCUUGAUAAAAAAUUUUAAUAUAUAGUUCUCUGCCUUAAGGAUACGUAUGUAUAUAUGUAGUUAUUCUGUCCCGCCAGAUCUAAUAAAAAUCUGAGGGUUAUUUGCUUAGUUAGUUCUGUACUAAUUAGAUUUACUAAAGGAAAAUUAUUUAACUUUGAAAUGUAGAGAGGGUAUUUCCUGCAUUUUUACCUUAAGUUCCUAGGCUUUUUUGCUUUGGCUCCAAGAGCUUAAUAACGCAGAAUUUCGGCAAUAUAUUUGCUAAUCUAACCAUUUGCAACUUUUUAAUCGGCAAACAAGUUCAACUUACGAAACAAUCAAUACAAAGUGGAUAACUACAACUAUUUACUACAGCAAAUAGGCAUACAAAACCAAUACAAAUAAUAACGCUAACUACAACUACAACUACAAAUACAA